AGUGAACGCUGGCGGUAGGCCUAACACAUGCAAGUCGAACGGCAACACAGUAAGAGCUUGCUCUUACGGGUGGCGAGUGGCGGACGGGUGAGGAAUACAUCGGAAUCUACUUUUUCGUGGGGGAUAACGUAGGGAAACUUACGCUAAUACCGCAUACGACCUACGGGUGAAAGCAUGGGAUCUUCGGACCUUGCGCGAUUGAAUGAGCCGAUGUCGGAUUAGCUAGUUGGCGGGGUAAAGGCCCACCAAGGCGACGAUCCGUAGCGGGUCUGAGAGGAUGAUCAGCCACACUGGAACUGAGACACGGUCCAGACUCCUACGGGAGGCAGCAGUGGGGAAUAUUGGACAAUGGGCGCAAGCCUGAUCCAGCCAUACCGCGUGGGUGAAGGAGGCCUUCGGGUUGUAAAGCCCUUUUGUUGGGAAAGAAAAGCAGCAGGUUAAUACCCCGCUGUUCUGACGGUACCCAAAGAAUAAGCACCGGCUAACUUCGUG
rnacentral:rRNA from 1 species